rnacentral:sRNA from 1 species
AAACAAAGAUGCCGCAGACAGCAGGUGCGUUUAUCGCUCAAUUUCCUGCCGAGGUGUUAAGGUUUUAAAAAAGAUUUCUGACUCAAGCUUAUUCUUUUUUAUGUCCUUUACGCCGCGCGGCGUAAGGGCUUUUUAAUUUCUU